rnacentral:rRNA from 1 species
AUGGUGGUUGAUGCCCUUGUUGUCAUCCUAGAUAAGGCCAAAGCUGCUGGCCAUAUUCGCAGCAUUGUCCCUCACCUGGUAGGAGGGGGAGGGGUCUCCCUCUUUCAAUAUGCGGACGAUACCAUAAUAAUGGUGGAGGGCACUGCGCAAGACAUUGCCAACCUGAAGUUCCUCCUCCUGUGCUUCCAACAGAUGUCGGGGCUCACAAUCAACUUCGAUAAGAGCGAAGUGAUGAUUCUUGGGUACCCUCUGGCGGAGGCUCAGGAUAUAGCUGACCAGCUGAAUUGCCGGUUGGGUACUUUCCCCACCACCUACUUGGGGGUACCCAUUAGUGACUCACGCCUCACCGUGGCUGACCUUCGUCCCACAGUGACCCGGAUGCAGCACCGGGUUGAGCCCUGGGAAGGGAGGUGGCUCUCGAAGGCCGCCCGCGUGAUCCUCAUCAACUCCUCACUUGCCAGCCUUCUUUGGUUCCUCAUGAGCUUCUAUAGCCUUCAUGAGACGCUCCAUCAGGAGAUCGCCAAGUACCAAUCCAGAUUCCUCUAGGCUGGCGAGGGUGAUAAGCAGAAGUACCAUAUGGUGAGCUGGCCCAACAUCUGCAAACCCAAGGACCAGGGUGGCCUUGGGAUCUUGUCCUCUCGGCGCAUGAACAUUGCCCUCCUGACCCGAUGGCUCUGGCGCAUUGCCACUGGGAAGGAGGCCUUUGGCUUACCAUCAUCCAGAACAAGUACCUUCGGGGCUAGCCACUCGCAUUCUGUCAGCGAUCCGGUGGCUCCCAGUUCUGGCAGGCUAUGA